rnacentral:rRNA from 1 species
GAUGAACGCUGGCGGCGUGCCUAAUACAUGCAAGUCGAGCGAACAGACGAGGAGCUUGCUCCUCUGACGUUAGCGGCGGACGGGUGAGUAACACGUGGAUAACCUACCUAUAAGACUGGGAUAACUUCGUGAAACCGGAGCUAAUACCGGAUAAUAUAUUGAACCGCAUGGUUCAAUAGUGAAAGACGGUUUUGCUGUCACUUAUAGAUGGAUCCGCGCCGCAUUAGCUAGUUGGUAAGGUAACGGCUUACCAAGGCAACGAUGCGUAGCCGACCUGAGAGGGUGAUCAGCCACACUGGAACUGAGACACGGUCCAGACUCCUACGGGAGGCAGCAGUAGGGAAUCUUCGGCAAUGGGCGAAAGCCUGACCGAGCAACGCCGCGUGAGUGAUGAAGGUCUUCGGAUCGUAAACCUCUGUUGUUAGGGAAGAAAAGAUGUGUAAGUAACUAUGCACGUCUUGACGGUACCUAAUCAGAAAGCCACGGCUAACUACGUG